rnacentral:rRNA from 1 species
UACAGAGGUCUCAAGCGUUGUUCGGAUUCAUUGGGCGUAAAGGGUGUGUAGGUGGCGCGCUAAGUCGGGGUGUGAAAUUUCGGAGCUUAACUCCGAAACUGCAUUCGAUACUGCCGUGCUUGAGGACUGGAGAGGAGACGUGGAAUUUGACGGUGAGCGGUGAAAUGCGUAGAGUAUCGAUAAGGAAGACCAGUGGCGAAGGCGGGUCUC